rnacentral:tRNA from 1 species
GGCGCCGUGGCGUAGUGGUUAGCGCGCCUGCCUGUAACCAUUAGAUCAUGGGUUCAAGCCUGUCGCUGCUA